GGGUGAGUAACGCGUGAGAAUCUGCCCUAAGGUCGGGGACAACCACUGGAAACGGUGGCUAAUACCGGAUAAGCCGAAAGGUAAAAGAUUAAUUGCCCUAGGAGGAGCUCGCGUCUGAUUAGCUAGUUGGUGGGGUAAAAGCCUACCAAGGCGACGAUCAGUAGCUGGUCUGAGAGGACGAUCAGCCACACUGGAACUGAGACACGGUCCAGACUCCUACGGGAGGCAGCAGUGGGGAAUUUUCCGCAAUGGGCGAAAGCCUGACGGAGCAAUACCGCGUGAGGGAGGAAGGCUCUUGGGUUGUAAACCUCUUUUCUCAGGGAAGAACAAAAUGACGGUACCUGAGGAAUCAGCAUCGGCUAACUCCGUGCCAGCAGCCGCGGUAAUACGGAGGAUGCAAGCGUUAUCCGGAAUGAUUGGGCGUAAAGCGUCCGCAGGUGGCAUUGAAAGUCUGCUGUCAAAGAGUCUGGCUCAACCAGACCUCGGCAGUGGAAACUACAAAGCUAGAGUACGGUAGGGGCAGAGGGAAUUCCUGGUGUAGCGGUGAAAUGCGUAGAGAUCAGGAAGAACACCGGUGGCGAAAGCGCUCUGCUAGGCCGUAACUGACACUGAGGGACGAAAGCUAGGGGAGCGAAUGGGAUUAGAUACCCCAGUAGUCCUAGCCGUAAACGAUGGAUACUAGGUGUUGCUUGUAUCGACCCGAGCAGUACCGUAGCUAACGCGUUAAGUAUCCCGCCUGGGGAGUACGCAGGCAACUGUGAAACUCAAAGGAAUUGACGGGGGCCCGCACAAGCGGUGGAGUAUGUGGUUUAAUUCGAUGCAACGCGAAGAACCUUACCAGGGCUUGACAUGUCGCGAAUCAUGGGGAAACUCGUGAGUGCCUUCGGGAGCGCGAACACAGGUGGUGCAUGGCUGUCGUCAGCUCGUGUCGUGAGAUGUUGGGUUAAGUCCCGCAACGAGCGCAACCCUCGUUUUUAGUUGCCAUCAUUAAGUUGGGCACUCUAGAGAGACUGCCGGUGACAAACCGGAGGAAGGUGGGGAUGACGUCAAGUCAGCAUGCCCCUUACGUCCUGGGCUACACACGUACUACAAUGCGCCGAACAGAGGGCAGCUAACCAGCGAUGGCAAGCUAAUCCCGGAAAUCGGCGCUCAGUUCAGAUCGCAGGCUGCAACUCGCCUGCGUGAAGUUGGAAUCGCUAGUAAUUGCAGGUCAGCAUACUGCAGUGAAUUCGUUCCCGGGCCUUGUACACACCGCCCGUCACACCAUGGAAGCUGGUAGUGCCCGAAGUCAUUACCCCAACCUUUCGGGGAGGGGGAUGCCUAAGGCAGGACUGGUGACUGGGGUGAAGUCGUAACAAG
rnacentral:rRNA from 1 species